AGAGUUUGAUCCUGGCUCAGGAUGAACGCUGGCGGCGUGCUUAACACAUGCAAGUCGAGCGAGAAGUUUUGAAAAGAUUCUUCGGAUGAAAUUUAAAAUGGAAAGCGGCGGACGGGUGAGUAACGCGUAGGCAACCUGCCCCAUACAAAGGGAUAGCAUUUGGAAACGAAUAUUAAUACCUUAUGAAACUUAACUAGUGCAUGCUAGGUAGGUCAAAGAUUUAUCGGUAUGGGAUGGGCCUGCGUCUGAUUAGCUAGUUGGUGAGGUAACGGCUCACCAAGGCGACGAUCAGUAGCCGACCUGAGAGGGUGAACGGCCACAUUGGAACUGAGACACGGUCCAAACUCCUACGGGAGGCAGCAGUGGGGAAUAUUGCACAAUGGGGGAAACCCUGAUGCAGCAACGCCGCGUGAACGAUGAAGGCCUUUGGGUCGUAAAGUUCUGUUCUAGGUGAUGAAAACUGACAGUAACCUAGGAGAAAGCCCCGGCUAACUCCGUGCCAGCAGCCGCGGUAAUACGGAGGGGGCAAGCGUUAUCCGGAAUUAUUGGGCGUAAAGGGUACGUAGGUGGCCUUUUAAGCGUAGGGUAUAAGGCAAUGGCUCAACCAUUGUUCGCCCUAUGAACUGGAAGGCUUGAGUGCAGGAGAGGAAAGCGGAAUUCCUAGUGUAGCGGUGGAAUGCAUAGAUAUUAGGAGGAACAUCAGCGGCGAAGGCGGCUUUCUGGACUGCAACUGACACUGAGGUACGAAAGCGUGGGGAGCAAACAGGAUUAGAUACCCUGGUAGUCCACGCCGUAAACGAUGAGCACUAGGU
rnacentral:rRNA from 1 species